rnacentral:rRNA from 1 species
GUCUACAGCCAUACCACCCUGAACGCACCCCGUCCCAGAAGCUAAGCAGGGUCGGACCUACUUAGUACUUGGAUGGGGGUCGGGGGGAACCUCACAACAGCUUGUAGGAGGUGGGUA